rnacentral:rRNA from 1 species
UACGAAGGGUGCAAGCGUUAAUCGGAAUUACUGGGCGUAAAGCGUGCGUAGGUGGUCUUUUAAGUCCGUUGUGAAAGCCCUGGGCUCAACCUGGGAAUGGCAGUGGAUACUGGAAGGCUGGAGUACGGUAGAGGAGGGUGGGAAUUCCCGGUGUAGCGGUGAAAUGCGUAGAGAUCAGGAGGAACACCGAUGGCGAAGGCAGGUCGCUGGGACGGUACUGACGCUGAGGCGCGAAAGCGUGGGGAGCGAACAGG